GUAGGUGAACCUGCGGAAGGAUCAUUACACGUAUUACGGGGGGCCGGAUCCAAAGUGCGCGUACUCCGCGUGCCUUGACCGGUCCUGUCUGAAUAUUCUACCCAUGUCUUUUGCGUACUAUUUGUUUCCUCGGCAGGCUUGCCUGCCGAUAGGACACCAUAAAACCUUUUGUAAUUGCAGUCAGCGUCAGAAAUAACUUAAUAGUUACAACUUUCAACAACGGAUCUCUUGGUUCUG
rnacentral:misc_RNA from 1 species